ACGUAUCUCUGGCGACGCCGGUCGCCCUGCUCCGGCCGCGAGGCCGUGCAGCGGGUGGCCUGCGCUGUCCAAAACCUUACAAACCCACCGUGCACACUCACGGCAAAAGGCCAAGGGCGAGAGCCCACGGUCGGAUGCCGUUUCACAAACCCUAACCAUUGAACGCAUGCGACCCUGUGUCGCCUAACAAACAAAA
rnacentral:misc_RNA from 1 species